CCUACGGGUGGCUGCAGUGGGGAAUAUUGCACAAUGGGGGGAACCCUGAUGCAGCAAUGCCGCGUGAAGGAUGAAGGUUUUCGGAUUGUAAACUUCUUUUGUACGGGACGAAGACAGUGACGGUACCGUAAGAAUAAGCCACGGCUAACUACGUGCCAGCAGCCGCGGUAAUACGUAGGUGGCAAGCGUUAUCCGGAUUUACUGGGUGUAAAGGGCGAGUAGGCGGGAGUGCAAGUCAGAUGUGAAAACUAUGGGCUCAACCGAUAGAGUGCAUUUGAAACUGUUGGUCUUGAGUAUCGGAGAGGCAGGCGGAAUUCCUAGUGUAGCGGUGAAAUGCGUAGAUAUUAGGAGGAACACCAGUGGCGAAGGCGGCCUGCUGGACGACAACUGACGGUGAGGCGCGAAAGCGUGGGGAGCAAACAGGAUUAGAUACCCCAGUAGUC
rnacentral:rRNA from 1 species